GGGGAGACACCCCAGAAUUCCUAGAUGAAUGCAGCCAGGAGCUCUUCUCGAGCCAGGAGGAAGGCAGCCAGCUGGAGCAGUUGGAUCUUGU